GACGAACGCUGGCGGCGUGCCUAAUACAUGCAAGUUGAGCGCUGAAGGUUGGUACUUGUACCAACUGGAUGAGCAGCGAACGGGUGAGUAACGCGUGGGGCAUCUGCCUUUGAUCGGGGGACAACAUUUGGAAACGAAUGCUAAUACCGCAUAAAAACUUUAAACACAAGUUUUAAGUUUGAAAGAUGCAAUUGCAUCACUCAAAGAUGAUCCCGCGUUGUAUUAGCUAGUUGGUGAGGUAAAGGCUCACCAAGGCGAUGAUACAUAGCCGACCUGAGAGGGCGAUCGGCCACAUUGGGACGGAGACACGGCCCAAACUCCUACGGGAGGCAGCAGUAGGGAAUCUUCGGCAAUGGACGAAAGUCUGACCGAGCAACGCCGCGUGAGUGAAGAAGGUUGUCGGAUCGUAAAACUCUGUUGGUAGAGAAGAACGUUGGUGAGAGUGGAAAGCUCAUCAAGUGACGGUAACUACCCAGAAAGGGACGGCUAACUACGUG
rnacentral:rRNA from 1 species